CCAAUAAAAAAUAAAUAAAAAAGGAAACUGCACGUCUAAGCACAAAUAGACCAAAUGUAGGCAAUAAUAACAAUGUGGUGAUACAGAAAAAAAAUGUUUUCCACAAGUAAUGUCCUAACAUGAGAAAUAUUCACUGCUAUCAAUAAGCAAACCAACAGGAAUGCCUGUAGUGGCCAGAAAUUAUCACAAUUAUUCUUAUGUGGGUAUGAGUGUACUGUUCCUUUAAUUUUAAUGAGUC